rnacentral:rRNA from 1 species
AUGUGUUCCUAUAAAAAAAGAGAGAGAACAAUGCAUUUCAGCAUGUAUGUCUCGGCUCCUAUAAAAAAGAGAGAGAACAAUGCAUUUCAGCAUGUAUGUCUCAGUGUGGCGUGCUGUAGCGGAUCACAAUAUUCUUCUAGUGUAGUGGUGGUUGUGCGGUGGAGGUGGGGCUUCGUCCUUCAGGCAAAUCGUGCAACAUGGAUCUGGUCUGAUCCAGACAGAUCUGGUGCUGGCAGCCUGUCCGGCCGAGGGCUGAGGCCAACAGGGGCCGUGUGCGGCCGGCGCUGGCGUGGAUCGGUGGGCAGUGCUGGUGGCGUGGCUGAGGUGGUGGAGGUGCGUGCACGUCCUGGAGUCCGGUUGGGCCUUCCUCCCCGGCUUCUGGACGACAGCGUGCGGCGCGGGCGGGCUUCUCUUGUGCCCAUCUUUGGUGGUGAUGGCGGUGGAUCUACCCCCUCUUCGGCGAACAUGUGGCUGUUGGUGGCCUCUCGCCAGUCCGCGCCAGUAGCCAUGGUGGGGCGAAGCAGGGGUGCUUCGGGGGGAGGGGAAAGUCGGAAGGAGGGAUGGGGCUCUGCUGUUGUUGAGUCGCCUGUCGCCGACGUAGGGUGUGCCGGUCAUGGUCGUGUGCCGGUCCUUCCCCUUCCCCUUUUCGUCAGCCUGGUGCUUUCUGGCGAUGCUUGA